rnacentral:rRNA from 1 species
CCUACGGGAGGCAGCAGUGGGGAACCUUGCGCAAUGGGGGCAACCCUGACGCAGCCAUGCCGCGUGAAUGAUGAAGGCCUUAGGGUUGUAAAGUUCUUUUGCCCGUGACGAUGAUGACGGUAACGGGAGAAUAAGCUCCGGCUAACUUCGUGCCAGCAGCCGCGGUAAUACGAAGGGGGCUAGCGUUGUUCGGAAUUACUGGGCGUAAAGCGCGCGCAGGCGGUUCGAUAAGUUAGGGGUGAAAUCCCUGGGCUCAACCCAGGAAUGGCCUUUAAGACUGUCGAGCUAGAGGACGAGAGAGGUGAGUGGAAUUCCCAGUGUAGAGGUGAAAUUCGUAGAUAUUGGGAAGAACACCGGUGGCGAAGGCGGCUCACUGGCUCGUUUCUGACGCUGAGGCGCGAAAGCGUGGGGAGCAAACAGGAUUAGAUACCCUGGUAGUCCACGCCCUAAACGAUGAGUGCCAGGUGUCGGGAAGCUUAGCUUCUCGGCGCCGCAGCUAACGACCUAACGACACUCCGCCGUCGGGUAGGUACGGCCGGCCGAACGGUUAAAAACGUUAAAACGGUAAAAGUUAGACGGCGUGAGAACGUAGCCGAACGGACGACGACGAGGGGAGGAGG